UUUUCCUACGGGACGCAGCAGUGAGGAAUAUUGGUCAAUGGACGCAAGUCUGAACCAGCCAUGCCGCGUGCAGGAAGACGGCUCUAUGAGUUGUAAACUGCUUUUGUACGAGGGUAAACUCGGAUACGUGUAUCCGUUUGAAAGUAUCGUACGAAUAAGGAUCGGCUAACUCCGUGCCAGCAGCCGCGGUAAUACGGAGGAUUCAAGCGUUAUCCGGAUUUAUUGGGUUUAAAGGGUGCGUAGGCGGUCGGAUAAGUUAGAGGUGAAAUCCCGAGGCUCAACUUCGGAAUUGCCUCUGAUACUGU
rnacentral:rRNA from 1 species